AGGGUUUUGUUAGAUUAAUGAUACUUUCCUAAAUGAGCCAUCAGAGAUGGUCCCUGAAAUGUUGGUUUAUAAAAUAGAAUAAUGUUUAUUUUCAUUUAUCAUUAGAUUACAGCCAACCAGGCUGGCCCACUUAGAAAACAGUAGUAGAGUCUCCAAAAUCUUCUGUUUUCAAAUACCACGGCAUCCAGUUGAUGUGUUUCAGAGGAUUUUAUCAUCACAGUAGCGGUAUUAGUAAAGCAUUGGUGCCCUGGAAAGGCUACUUCUCAUAUUCAAUUAUUUCCUAGUAGCUAUCUGCAGACACUCAGAGCAAGGAUGAAGUCCAGGCUGGGGCCAGUCUCCUAGUCUCCUUAUCUGCCCCUUUGCUGCCGUCAUCCCAGAUACAGUGAAACACCAGCACUCUGCAGAAGUGAGCUUUGGCAGGAGCUGGGGAGGAAAGGACUUCUCUUGUGCACAUCCUGAACAAGCUUUGGAAUCUGAUGCAAACAGGAAUCCAGAGUGUUUACUUCUCUGUGUUUCCAGGAGCCUCGAAUUUGGCACCAGAGUUAAAAUAGUCUCGUGAGGCUGAUGAUGGCUGUGCUGUGAUUGGAUGUCGGUGUCCUCCACAUCCCUCCUGCCCUGCCCUGUUCAUACAGAAACCCCCAUCACCAAGGGAAACUACUCCAGCAUAAAAUGAUCCUGUUAAAAGUGAGCUGUUUCUGAAGAGUGUACUGUUGCGUGGGGAGUCUAUGAUCCUGUUUUCCAUUUCUACUGCAUCUCUCUGUGGCUCAAAACAAGGCAGGUGUGUCCACAGAGAGUGGGAAUUCCAAAAGUACGGACACUAGACAAGACUCGCCCUAAAGC